ACCCCGGUAGUUAAACGGAUAUAACAGUAGACUUCUAAUCUUCUAUUCCAGGUUCGAUUCCUGGCCGGGGUACCA
rnacentral:tRNA from 1 species